GCGUUUGUGGUGUAGUGGUCAGCACGCUGGGCGCGUAUUCCAGAGGUCCGCGGUUCGAAUCCCGGCAAAGGAA
rnacentral:tRNA from 1 species